UCCAGUGCGCGUGUGCGCUCGCCUUGCUUGUCUUCCCUGCCCACGUCUCCUUUCGCUGCUCGUUCGUUCGCGCACCUUCCUUCUCAACCGGUGCGGCGGAAUCCUCCGCCCCGAGCUAAGUUCCGUUCAAACUUUUCGUCAAAUCGAAACGAUAAAUAAUUACUUGCAAUUUCCUUUGCAUCGUAUUAAUGGAAGAAGUAAAAGAAAAAUGGAAAAGAAGAAGUAAAUAAUUGGAAAGAAAAGAAAUGACGAUCAUCCUGACGGCGCACAGUGUCGUGACAACGACCUUGCGGACAUCUGCCCACGAGAAAUGGCCCUUAGUCAUCGUAGGAAUGCUGACGGACAUAUUCUCGAUCCACUUCCUGUAUCAGUGAGAACUAAAAAUACCACCACAGGUUUCACCAUUCGAAUCGUUUUGAAAUUACAAUUGUUACAUUUUUCAUGAAUCUAAGAAAAAUUCGGAUAAGUCGGAUAAUUAACGCAUCAGAAAAAAGGGUAUCUUUAAUUUCAGUUUUAACAAUUCAGUUUGAAUGCAAUACUCUGAACUUAUCACAAUAGUGAUUUUGUUAGAGAAAUACGUAUACUUCUGAAAGGUUUUGAACUAUUUAUUUAUGUUAGAAACGAUGCGUUAUUUUAACUUUCGAACAAUAAAUAUUAUAUGAAUGAAUGAUGGAAUACAAUUUACAAAUUAUGGACUAUCAGACGCGACCCAGACUACAUAUAAAAAUUAUACUAAAUAUUCGGUCGAUGCACCAGAGUCAAAAAUAACUUCAAACGUUACUCCGAUUCUCGAUGUGUCUCGUUUCCUCUGUUUUUCUCUUUCUCUCACUCAUUCCAACUCGGCUGCAUUCGCAGAAUUCACAAUAUCUUUGGACAUUACAGACUAUCUCUUGACCGAGUUCCAA